CGGAAAGAGAGGGAUUCGAACCCUCGGUACAAAUAACUCGUACAACGGAUUAGCAAUCCGCCGCUUUAGUCCACUCAGCCAUCUCUCCCAAUUGAAAAAAAAAGAUAAUUACUAUGUUACAUUACGCGUAAAGUAAGGAUUAAAAAAGUCUUUCUCUCUCUUUAUCUUUAUAUAGAAUAUAGAUAUGUACAACUUUUAUCAGCAAUUCCAUUUAGAUAAAGUAAGGACUGGAAAGAUCCAAUAUAAAGAAAAAUCAAAAUAAAGAAGACUUAUUUGCUUUGAUUUUAUUCGAAAGAGCCUUUUUUUAUUCC
rnacentral:tRNA from 1 species